CAAGUCGAGUGCGCGGUUGUAGCAAUACAACUGGCGCACGGCGCACGGGUGCGUAACACGUGGGCAAUCUGCCCUUCGAUGGGGAAUAACUCCGGGAAACCGAAGCUAAUUCCGCAUAACAUUCCUUGGACUUCGGUUCGAGGACUCAAAGCCGCAAGGCGUCGAAGGAGGAGCCCGCGCCCGAUUAGCUAGUUGGUGAGGUAACGGCUCACCAAGGCAAUGAUCGGUAGCUGGUCUGAGAGGAUGGCCAGCCACACUGGAACUGAGACACGGUCCAGACUCCUACGGGAGGCAGCAGUGGGGAAUCUUGCGCAAUGGGCGAAAGCCUGACGCAGCGACGCCGCGUGGGGGAUGAAGCAUCUCGGUGUGUAAACCCCUUUCGACUGGGACGAAUGCCUCGCAAGAGGAGUGACGGUACCAGUAGAAGAAGCCCCGGCUAACUACGUGCCAGCAGCCGCGGUAAGACGUAGGGGGCCAGCGUUGUUCGGAAUUACUGGGUGUAAAGGGUUCGUAGGCGGUGUGGCAAGUCGGGAGUGAAAUCUAUGGGCUUAACCCAUAGGCUGCUUCCGAAACUGCCGUGCUUGAGUGUGGGAGAGGCGCGUGGAAUUGCAGGUGUAGCGGUGAAAUGCGUAGAUAUCUGCAGGAACACCCGUGGCGAAAGCGGCGCGCUGGACCACUACUGACGCUGAGGAACGAAAGCUAGGGGAGCAAACAGGAUUAGAUACCCUGGUAGUCCUAGCCCUAAACGAUCAGGACUUGGGGUGCCACCCGUUCGGGUGUCGUCCCGGAGCUAACGCGUUAAGUCCUGCACCUGGGGAGUACGGUCGCAGACUGAAACUCAAAGGAAUUGACGGGG
rnacentral:rRNA from 1 species